GCGGGGAGAGGGAAGGCGAAGGCGGGCUGAGCCCGGCGCCGGGAGGAGUGGUCUAAACUCCACCGCGGCUUUCGCAUCGGUUUAUGGGAUGCAGGAUAAUGGAGCAUGCUCUAUCUGGGACAUUGCUAGUCUUAUGACAGAGGGAGAAGACAGCGAUGAGUUUUCGAAGAACUCCAGGAAGUGGCUGCAGAGCAAAGUAGGAUCCUGAUACUGAGCUCAAGUGAUUCAGAAUGAAAAGACCUUGGCACAGACCUGUUAAGGAAGCUCCAUAUAAGGUGAAGAAAACAACAUGCUCAGCCAUGUCCUUGCCUUCUGCACACGGUAGUGCAUUCACUGCCUGAGAAUUCAAGGCUAAAACAAAAAGAGGAGCUUUUGUUCCAACAGAUAAGUACUUACCUUUUUCAAAAAAUGCAUAAGCUGUCCUGGGUGUUUAGCAGUUAUUCGCACAGCUUUCCAAAGACUCACAGCAUUUAAAAGCUAACUCUACAGAGAUUCAACAGCUUCUUCCAGAUCCCACCACAGUGGAAAAGAACUCCGGUGUCCUGGCUCCCUGUCCAGCUCUUCUCUCUCCCCUUCCAGCUGCCAGUUCAGCUUUAAGAAGUUCAUUCUCCACAUUCAGAUGCAGGCAAAUGCGUUUGACUUGAGCAUAUUGAUUUCAGGCAGGUGAGAGUGGAUGUAGCGAUUCAGC
rnacentral:lncRNA from 1 species